UACGAGAACCCGUUUAAUUACGUAUUUUUAUCUGGGAUAGGGAGUAGAGUAAUGUAAUUCAGCGUAAUAAAUUCGCCCACGGUAACAGAGUUUUAAAGGCUAUUUUGAUCUAAAAGUAGAGUUUAUCUUAAAAGUGAAGAUUUACAGAAACAAAUACGCAUUGCGAUUAAAUAAAUUUUCAUUAUCAUAUUACUUUUUAGUCAAAUUAUAUUGUUCGGGUUUUACAUUAGACAAGAUUAAAACAGAACAGAUUUACGAAAACAGUCCAACGGACGUGAAAUCACGAUUCAUCAAAAAUGGACGUCUACGGUUUGCGGAGAAAAAAGUUACAGAAAUAUCAAAAAUGUAAAAUACGCAUUAUAUGAGGAAUAUGCUGGAUUUUAAGUUAAACAAAAUGUCGAAACGGAACCCAAUAACUUCUGAAUUUAGGCGCAUUCCACCUAAAUUAUAAGCAAAUUGUGUCCACUUGACGCAUUUAAAGAUACCAAACGCUUCGGAUUCUUUUUGCACCAGUGGCACGUUAUAUAAUAUAUUGAAAUGUACUAAGAUUUCACUUAUUAAUGCGCUUUCAUCAUUGUUUAUAUAUAAACGUCUUGCCAUGGAACAAAAUGUUUGUACUUGUUUUGUAUAAAGGUCUUUAAGAACCAGUAAAACACUAAACGGUGCAGCUGAUAAGCUAAACACAAUGGCCAAAUUAUGAUGUCUCGAACGUAUCUGCAGACGUCUAAUGAGAAUAAAUUACAAAUAUGAAAAUGGUCAAGGUUGCCAACCUAGGGAAAUAUGUCCCUGUUGAGGAGCGUUCCCAUAUUACCAUAGGUUAUUUUAAGUCCCGGUUAUGGCUAAAGCGUCCAGCCUGUGGUAAUGUAUUUCAUCUUUUUAAAUGUUCCAAUCCCUCAUUAAAUAGUUUUAGCGGUAGUACACCUUUGUACUGUAUUUAACUGUAGAUUCAUUAAGUGUGUACUAUUUAAAAUCUAAUUUAUAGUGUUGGCAAAUGUCAAAACUUGAAGAAAUAAGUAUGAGAUUUUUCUGAUGUCAUAUAAUAAAACAGUAUGGGACCCUGGUCAGUAGUUACAAUUAUACACCACAAAACCUUUUAGUAAGUGUAUAAUAUAAUCAUCAUUAAUAACCAACUAAAAAUGAAUAUCUGUUUAAACAUUCAUCCUUUUUAGUCAGAAAAUAGAUCUUGCUAAAAGUACGAAACGUUGGUUCUUAGUGUUUUGGCAUAUUACAACUGGAACAUAUCCUUCACCACUAGUAUGACUAACUUGUUCAUACUGGUUAUUAAAUCCUAUAAAUAGAUAACUGGAAGUAAAGAAUAAAUCAUUAUCUUGCCUCCUACAAGUUUCGUGCAUUUCUAUUGGCCAAUAGACGUCAAGCAGUGUAACUAAUGAUACAUGAAUCAGAUUUUUUUUAUCUACAAUGCAAGCCAAUAUAUUGAGCUGCAACCUUAUUUACAACUUUCAUCGAAUACUAGAAAAACUAUACAUUUGCCUUUUGAACGCAUAUGUCGAGAGUGUGGAAAAGCAAACAUUUCAGAGCAAAAGUCUGGAUAUCGUUAUUCCCUUCAUUGCUUCCGUCAAAAUGCAUCAGAAAUAAUAAGGGAAUAAACAAUCAACCCGUCUGACGUUUCAGUCACAACACUGUUUUAACUAUUUGUUCUUCUUUAAAACGGUCAUUUCUUAUAAAGCCUUGAGCAGUUUGCCUAAACAAUGAGUUCUGUGUAUUAUUUAUAAGUAAUUCUUUAAAAAAGUAAAAUCUGUAAGAAGCAGAAAAAUAGCAGAUUCUAUUUAUAAGACGUGAAGACAAGUACAACAACCAAUAACGUAUGCAAUUUCAUCAUGUAACACUACAAGCAAUAUUCUAGAAUUAAAAUCAAUACAUUUCACUGUAUUUAAUUUUUGCCUAUGUGUUCAAAGUAUUGCAAUGAUAUAACAGCAUCAGAAAAUGACGGAAUGCGAAUGCUUAAAACGGAGGAUCCUACUCACAUUUGUUUGCUCGGUUCAGAAUUUUGUGUCAGUGGGAUUAAUCUACGGAUUUAGUGUGAUGUAUGCGGACCUUAUAAAUGUUUUCAGUACUUCGAGAUUCAACAGUGCUUUAAUUCAAGGAACAUUGAAUGUGAUCGGUAUAGGAGGAGGUAAAGUGUCUGUCAUUUUAACAGGAACUUUUUGUUAACCUUAUACUGUGAACUUAAUUAUAAUUUUGUAGAACCUUUCUUAUAUUAAAAAAACGAAAUCGGUUUAUUUUAUUCCCAUGAAAUGAAAUAGUCACUUUGAUCAAAACAAGGAAAUAAUAUAUGAUUCAACAGUAUAUAUAACAAAAGCACAGUCAAAAGCGCAUGGCCAUCAUAUUACAACAUUAGAGUAGUCAAACAUCAUUUUCUUACUGAUUUUAUACCGGUUCACUUUAAAGUUUUAUUCAGCGGCAAAGAUAAAACGCAAACAGACUCCUUUGAUUUUGAUAAAAAAACAACAACACGAUCAGUUAACAGAUUUUAUUACAAGUUACUGCAGAAUAAAUGCAGUUUGCAGUUUCAUUUAUAUCAUGUCUUUUGUUCUAUUUUACUAGGUGUAUUAUGGACAUUACCAGUCAAGAGAUUCGGAAUAGGCUUGUGCAUGGUUGUGGGAGCUCUAUUGGGAUGUUUAGGUUUCGUCACCAGCUUAUUUGCACGAAAUUUUCAAACAAUUAUCGUUUGUACAGGAGUAAUAACUGGUACUGGUAUCUCGAUAGGAUUUCUAGCCCCGUGUGUGGUAGUGGGCAUGAUAUAUAAUGAAGACCCGGGAUUUCAGAUGGCAUUGCUAACAGUUUCGGGCAGCUUGGGGCAGAUGACAAUACCUCUUGUUUAUGAAGCAUUUCUUACUUACUAUCACUGGUCCGGGGCCUUUGUUCUUCUUGCAAGUAUUGCUCUGCACGGUGUUCCUUGUGGGCUUCUUAUCUAUUAUUCAAGCAACCUACUUGUCAGUAAAGACGAUAAAGAUGUUAGCUAUAAUUCUAGUGAUGCAUGUGCCAAAGAGCAGUUAACGGACCCUGUGAUAUGGUUAUUUAUAGUAAUACUUUUGAUAAUAUUCGGAACAGGUAAGUUUUUAAAAUACUAGUAUAUGUAAGAAAUACAUUGGCAAUGGGUAUUUAAUAAAAAGUAUGCUUUGUUUUGCUUACACAACUAUCAAUUUAGCAGAAAAUGCAUAAAUGCACAUCCGAGUUGAAAAUGUAGUAUACACAAUUUCAAAUCAAUAUUUACACAUCCCAUAGAGCAUUUUUUGAAGAUAAAUAUUAAAAGAGAUAUGUACACGAGCGAAAACGUCGUAUGCCCGUGACAAAGUCAAUCAUGUUGCUUUUCUUUUUAAAUCUUCACAAUAAAAGUGUUUGCCUACAUUUUAGUACAUGUUUCAACAGAAUAUGUUCUUUAACAGUAAAUUUUGAACCGUGGUUCCUGGUUGACCAAAUGGUAUCUUUGGGAUAUUCACAACAGUUUGCAACACAGCUGCUCUCAGUGUUUGGAUUUGCGAAUCUAGUCGGCCGUAUCGUUGGCAGUGUACUGAGGUUAAGUUGUCGAUCAUUUCCAGCGAUAUGCAAUAUGUUUUACGUUUGUCCUUUGAUAGCCCUUGGUCAUACCCUCGUUAUGAAGCUACAGACCUUCAAUAAUUGGAUGAUUGCUGCCUGCAUUGUACAUGGUUUUGGUUACGGAAAUCUUGCUGCAAUUACACCGGUUGUUCUUUACGAUUUAGUAGAACGUGACAAGUUUCUGGAAGCCUUUGCCCUACUUGGAUUGGCUAUUGGAACUGCAAACUUACUUUGCAAUUUCGUGGGAGGUAGCAUACGCGAUAUUUAUGGAACAUACGAUUUUGCUUAUGAGCUAGGGAUAGCAGCAGCUCUUCUAGCGACAUUUGGUUUCUUAGUAUUAGCAUGUGUCACGAGGAAAUGCCACAGGAAAGAGAGUAUUUUACAACAAAAUUAUUUGAAAACCAAGCCAUACAAAUCUAUACAUUGAACUGUUAUAUGACUUUUAUUCCAAUGAGUCAUUAAAUUGAAUUAAAUAUAUUGCAAUGAUGCUCAAUGUGUAUUUAUCAGAUGUUUCCAGCAAGCGUUUGUGAAAACCUAGUGCACCGGCUGUGCAGUAGUCAUCUUACAAAACAUAAUCUCUAUCUAUAUAUUUUUGUUUUGCAAAAUGAUUUACAAAAAUAUUUGAAUUUCCUAACCUUUGACCACUUAUUUGGUAAAUUUGUAAGCAUCAGAUAUUAGAAUGUCCUAUUUCGGGUUCGCUUUGUAUGGUGAAACAUGGGAAUGGCAUGUCAGGAAAAUGAUUCAUCGAUCAGAGUAUCCGUUACAUCGAUCAUUUUUAAUGAAAUGACUCGUCCUCCAUCUCUUACCUUCCUAUCGAAAUGUAGACCUCUCUGACUUCUUUAGCAAUAAUGAUAGUAAGCGAGCGUAUGUAAGCCAUAAGAUGACAAAAAUGUAACAAGACGAGUAUGAUAAUCAAAUUACUCAAUUUGACACUAAUCGUUCUAAAUUGAAAUGGCUAAAACACUCAGGCGUCAGACAGUUUGGAUUGGUUAAUUAUUCACAGUUGAUUGAGUUUAUUACGACACCUUUUGCGAUUUAACAACUCGAGAUAAACAUUGUGAAAACAAUGCAAAAUCGAGAAUUGGGGCAAAAAAUAUUAGCACGAGAUAAUGAAAUAUUCGGGAUAUAAAACUCGAAGAUAAGCAACGAAUUUUAUAUAAGAUAAGAAAGAAUCUUUUUUGAUUUUCUUCUUUUCGUUCGCUCUACACAGUCAGUCCAGUAAACAUAUAAGAAGGAAUGAAAUCAGUACUUUACAAAAUAGAUCGAAAUAACAAAAUAUGGAGACAAGCAAUGUCUAUAUAACGAGGUCCGACUGUAUUUUGCAAGAGUUUGUUAAAGUUGGAGGUUCCAAUAAUAGAAAUCUUAGAAUUAAAAUUAAAUAUAGCAUAGAUAUCGCUAUCUAAAACUACAGAUGUUCUUUACCAAAUUUACCCCAGAUUGUCCGAAAUUUUAAAGACUUUUUAAGAAACCUGACACGGUCGUGCUCUCUCUGUAUUCUACGAGGAUGCAUUUUUAAGCUAGGGAAAAUUAUAUGUAAAAUACGAUUAGAUUUGUACAUUUUAGACAAAACAAUCUGCUAAAAUAUCUUCAUUGCAAAUGUAAGGACUCAAAUUCAUAUUUGGUGAAUUGUGAAAAAUCAGGUAUGUAAUUGCCAAUAGAGUGAAAGUAAGUACAAUUACGAUUAUGAAAAGUUUCAAUAAAAACCUACGUCGUGGAACUCUUUAUAUAGUAUUUCCCGAAAAUUUCAUCAAUACGUCCAUUUUCACAUAGAUCCCCAGUAUCUUAAAAUUGACCUACCAUAAGAAAAAGAAAAAAAAAAGCAUGCACACUACCCUAUCUUUGUUUCGGGCUGGAUGUACUUCAGGAAAAAUGGUCCUUUGAAAAAAAAAUGUUUUUAUUUAAUUCAACAUUGUAAUAUUUCAUUUUAGAUCAACAACGGUAAAGAAAACAAUUAAUAUACCCUACGUUCGUAAACCGAGUGAUUGCUUAUAAUAUCUAAACGUUCAUAUUUUACUCAUACUUAUUUAUUUGGAAGAUAUAUUUGUACAUUUUAAAAUGUGCUCAUUUCACUAACAUGGCAUCAUACAAAAUAUCCAUGGUUAUAGAAGGCACACUGAAUUACCAGUUGACACACACAAUACAAAACCUAAAAUGUUACUUUAAACGCAAUGUUUAUAUCAUUUAAUAAUUUGCCAAUUCCCAACAAUAAUUGUUAUAUAUUUUCAUAACAAAGUUAAAGGCGCAUAAUGCCUUUGUUUAAAAUGUGGCUGACACUUUAAGCAAUUGUCUUAAGUAAUAUUUCCGAAAAACUUAAAUAAUGUCAAAUCAUCAGUAAAUAAAAUGUGUUCAAAUAAACUGAGAUAUGAUUCUAGUGUUCUUGUCUUGUAAUGGAAGCAUUUUACAGGGUGUGGUUUUUA
rnacentral:lncRNA from 1 species